rnacentral:rRNA from 1 species
AUUGAACGCUGGCGGCAGGCCUAACACAUGCAAGUCGAGCGGAUGAGAGGAGCUUGCUUCUCGAUUCAGCGGCGGACGGGUGAGUAAUGCCUAGGAAUCUGCCUGGUAGUGGGGGACAACGUUUCGAAAGGAACGCUAAUACCGCAUACGUCCUACGGGAGAAAGCAGGGGACCUUCGGGCCUUGCGCUAUCAGAUGAGCCUAGGUCGGAUUAGCUAGUUGGUGAGGUAAUGGCUCACCAAGGCGACGAUCCGUAACUGGUCUGAGAGGAUGAUCAAGCACACUGGAACUGAGACAAGGUCCAGACUCCUACGGGGUGUAGCAGUGGGGAAUAUUGGACAAUGGGCGAAAGCCUGAUCCAGCCAUGCCGCGUGUGUGAAGAAGGUCUUCGGAUUGUAAAGCACUUUAAGUUGGGAGGAAGGGUUGUAGAUUAAUACUCUGCAAUUUUGACGUUACCGACAGAAUAAGCACCGGCUAACUCUGUGCCAGCCGCCGCGGUAAUAC